UACAGAGGGUGCAAGCGUUAAUCGGAAUUACUGGGCGUAAAGCGUGCGCAGUCGGUUAUUUAAGUCGGAUGUGAAAUCCCCGGGCUCAACCUGGGAAUUGCAUUCGACACUGGAUAGCUAGAGUUCGGCAGAGGGAAGUGGAAUUUCAGGUGUAGCGGUGAAAUGCGUAGAUAUCUGAAGGAACAUCAGUGGCGAAAGCGACUUCCUGGACCAGAACUGACGAUCAGGCACGAAAGCGUGGGGAGCAAACAGG
rnacentral:rRNA from 1 species